rnacentral:lncRNA from 1 species
GAGUUAGGACAGCAUUUAGGCGAAUACGAAGUGCUGUGAGGCCAAUCCCGCUCCCGCUCCCUGCACCUGCAUCUUAGCUUUUCUCUUUCCUUUUCCUUCUUGUUUCAACAUGUUUCUGACCUUCGAGAAUAGAUUUUGUUUCUAUUGAGCACUAAUUUCUAAUUUAUCCUCUGUUUCCGUAGUAAUUUUAUGUUUGAAUGCAUCCUGCCUUGAGGUUGCCUCUUAUUUUAGUCUCGUGCCUCAAUGAUUUUGCUCAUUGCUGUAGUUUGGACUUAUCCUACCAAGGGAUAGUUCGAUUUCAAAUUAGUGCCUUAAAAAAUCAGUGUCUAAAAAUAUAAUUGAAUAUUUGCUGCAUGCAAGUUGUAAAUAGUCAGAUUUCUAACCCUUUUUUCCAUGCGAGAAUUGCUGUCGUGACUUGAUUGUAAUCUUGAAGUGCAGGACUAAUUGCUAGUUCAGUUGAUUUUAUUCUUGAAAUGCAGGAUUAAUUGCUUGUUCAGUCAGAUUAUAAAUCCGCGCUUCAAAAAAAUCAGUUUCUAAUAAUAUGAUUGAAUGUUGGUUGCAUACAAGUUGUAAAUAGUCAAAUUUGUAACCAUUGUUUCCAUGCGAGUGUUGCUAUCAUUACUUGAUUUAAUUCUUGAAGUUCAAUUGACCGUUUAAUUUAUGGGAUUGAUUGCAAUCAUAGUUAUUAAACCCGGUUCGGGAGUUGACUCGGCCAAAGAGCCGGGUCCCGGGUUUUAUGGGUUGACCCGGGUUAACCCAGGUCAACCCAUAAAACCCAUGUUAUUUAUGGGGUCAGGUGAUUAAAGAAAGAAAUGGAAAAGGAAAGCAAUUAUAAAGAGGUGAAGUGGGACCCAAUGUGGCAGGGCAUAGGCAUGGGAGAGGGUGACGUUAUUGGUUGUUGGUUGUUUUGUGCAGAGAUCUCUUAAUCUCAUCACCAUCUCCUCCUACCCUCUCUGGCUCCUUGACAUGCUUUCCCCUGGGGUGAAGCACAGUCCUUGCUCCUUACGCACCCAUGCUCUAAAGCUUAAAAACACCACACGAAUCCUCUUUCUUUUACAUCUUUUCCCUGCAAAUUCCUCUGGUUUCUACAUGCUUGAAAACAUUAGCUAGAGAGAGAGAGAUAUGUUAAAGACUUGACGGUGAUAAGAAAGCCUGUGAUGCUGGUAUUGUACCUAUUGCCUCACUUUCUCUUGAAAUUGCGAGUUUCGUCCAGUUUAAUCUUCAAUUUUCUUCAGGUUACAGUCAUCAAUCGUCAGGCCAGAAAGAAGAAAUGGAACCCAAUGCCAACCCUCAAGAUCUCCAAACCCAGAUCGACCUGCAAUCAUAUCAAGCGAACCACCUCCAAAACGCCGGGUCUCAUCCGGGUUCGCCCGGGUCAUGGGUCGACCCGCUGGGUCGACCGGGUUUUGCCGGGUUGUUGCACCGGCCGGUCUUUUGACAAACCCGGACCGGUCUAGCCACCGGGUCGACCCGCCGGGCCGGUCCGAGUUUAAUAACUAUGAUUGCAACAUCUUUGGUAAUAGGAAUUUGUGAUUGGGUGAUUUUACCAGAGAGAGAGAAAAAAGCAACACCAUUGACGGUGAAUCAGUGGUGGAGAAGAAACACGUGUUAUCUGGUCAGGUAGGCACCACUUAGAGGAGUCCUUGGAAGCUACUAUAUGGUCAUAUAUCUUGGCUGCGCAUGCUGCCAAAAUUUUCUGGAGCCCCCAUACACCUCUAGUUUAAUAAUUUAAAUAAUAUUAUAUAAUUAGUAAAAAAUGCAACAACUCUUUUCUUAAUUCGAUAAUUAAAAAAAAAAAGAGCAAAAGCAAAAUACAUAAAUAUCAUUGCACAUUUGAAUUUUUUUUUUUUUGUCUUCAAGAGGUAAGUUCAUGAAUUCAUUGUAUAAUUAAAGCUGAAAUGCUAAAAAUACCUCCAAGUGAUAGGUAUAUAUCAUUUUUCUGUAAGGGUAAAAAAACUAUUAUAUUGUGCUAAAAAAUUAUGUGAAGACCAAUCCUCCGUCAAUGAAUUCAGCAAUGCCAAUUGAAUCCCCGUGAAAAUAUAAAACGCCCUCAAAAGCAACAUCUUUAAGUUUUGUGAAGAAGAGCUUAACAUUAUUACAAUCUACAAUCUACAGUGCUAUAAAUCUAAGUCCACGGUUAAAUAUUGAUGCCUUUUAGUUUUUUUUUUGUAAUGAUUUAAUUAUCACAUUCUAUUUUGUAUUUUAUUUUCCUAAGAUUUUGAUAUGAUUUGUAUGAUUUGAUAUUUACGGGGAGGGAUUUAAACUUUCCUAUUUUUAUGGUCAAUCGGAAUAUUAGCUUGCCUUUAAAUAGUUAAAUUUAUGAAUGCAUCCAAUAGUGUGCAUGAUAAUACACACACCUAGAUAAUGUUUUCUCAUGGUUCAAGGUGUCACAUUAUUCCUUUUUUUUUUUUGACAUAGUUAGCUCUAGCAUGAGCAUCAACAAGCUAUAGUGAGCUGGAUUUCUAUCCAAAGAGUUUAAUGAAGAAGAACAGUAACGUAUAGUAUGCUAUCCAAUGGUAGUAAUGAGUUAAAAGAGAGAGAAGAAAGAGGAAGAAAGAGACGAGAGAGGAGGGAGAGAAAGAAACUAAUUUCAUCAUAAUUUUUUCCAGCAAAAAAUGUUGUUACAUAUAAGGUACCGUUGUCUAACAAUACUAUUCCUUUAAUCUAGGCCAACCUGUGGCAACAAUUAUAACUAAUAAAUAAAAAUAAAACGCUACAUUGAAGAUGGGAUAAAUGAAACUUAAAAUAAGGACAAAACAUUGUGUUGAAAUGGGUAAGUGAAAUGCUAUGUUUUCCUUUGUUUUUUUAAUUAAAAUUAUAAUGAUUAUUUUUUUUGAAUCAAUCAACUCUAAUUCCCUUUUUUUUUUUGCGUCUUCUUUUUUCAAUAAUGCACAUAACAAUUUUUCAGUAAUCAAUCAACCCUAACUCUUUUUUUUCGGCAUCUUCUUUCUUCAGUAAUGCACAUAACAAUUCUCCCUUCAUAAAAAUACUUUUGUUCUCAAGGGGAAAUGUUGGAAACCUCAGAGAGAACUCUUCAAGGAACUCCUAUAUGGCUUCAACUGGAGGUGAAUUCUUCCAUAAGAUCAGGACCUGAGUGGUUGCACGAUUGUGAUGCUUCACCAUUCUUCUAUUCAAUAUUGCUUAAGGUUAGGGUGUUAGGCUAUCAUGUAGUUUAGGUAAAUCAUCGUAUAUUCUUUUACACCCCACAUGCUUCUUUAAUUGUGAUACAUGGAAAACUGGGUGAAUUAUGGCAAUAGGAGUAGGCAUAGUUUGUAAGCCAUUGUCCCAAUACGUUCAAUUACCUGAUAUGGACCAUAGAAUUUAGGUGAUAUUUUGUGUGAUUCUCUUGUAAUCACUUACCUCUGUUUGUACAAUUAUAGUUUAAGAUAAACCCCCUUACCUACAACAAACAUCCUUUCAUUUAUUUUUUUGUUAGCCUAUUGGAUCAUCCUAUAUUGUGCCACCUUGAGAUUAGUUUUGAUAGAUUUCAACAUGUUUUUCUUUUAUAUGAGAAGUGCAUCCACAACUUCAAUAUUAGAAUCCUUUAGCAAGUAAAUAAUAUGAAUAGAAGGCAUAUGACCGUAAAGUAUUUCAUAUAGUGUAGAUUUAAUAGAAGUAUGAUAAUGUGUAUUGUACCACUAUUCAACUAAGGAUAACUAUGUGGACCAUUGACUAGGAUUAACACCUAACAUGCACCUCAAGUAGUUUUCUAGGCAUUUAUUGGUUGCUUCUGUUUGCCUAUUAAUCUGGGAUGAUAUGUAGUAAAGAAAUACAAUUCAACCCCUUAUUGGGCAAAUAGAUGCUUCCAAAACUGACUUAGAAACACCGGGUCCCUGUCACUGAUACAACCAUAUUAUUUGAUAGUUUUACCCAUAUUUACCUAGUAUUUUACCUAUGUUUUAUAUAUAAAAUACCUUGAUAUUAUUUGUUUUAUGUUUUGAAGGCACUUUUAGAUGUAAGAUUAAAAAAGAAAUAAAUUGGAGACAAUUCAGAUCAUGUUUCAGCCCGUGUCGAACAUUGACAGAUUGAUCUCCGAUCGAUGUUUUGUGCAGAGCUUGAGCUCUAGAGGUCGAAAUGAAGUGAUUAUAGUGGCAUUAAAAAGAUAACAUCCAUACUUUUAUAUACAUAUAUGGCAAGAAAAAUAAAAAAAGAAAGAGCAUGAAAAUUGCAGUUUUUAAAGACAAAUCUUGCAUUCGGCCAUUUCGACUUGAAUAUCUUGAGUUAGAGAAGUCCAUUUGAUACAAACUCAAUUGUUUUGGAUUUUUGACUCGAAGACCUACUAGCCUACCAAGUUUUAGUAGAAAAAAGAGCUCAUAUGAGGGCGAUAUGAUUUUUUUAAGACGACUCAUAAAUUCUACCAGCAGACAGGUUUUGUGAAAAAACAAGUCCAAUUUACUUCCCAAACGUUCAAACCGACAUCCAAAUAUUUAUUUGGGAAAUUUAACUUCUCUAAGUUCAAAUUCAAAGCUUGAAGAUUUUAUGCAAGACUAUUUCUUUUUUUUUUAUAUAGAAAAAUAGUUAUUGCAUUACUUAAAUGUAAAUUGUCUACUUAGAAAAUAAUUAUUUUAUAGGGAAGUAGGGAUUAGAGUUUCCUAUCAAAUAAAAAAAAAGAGAGAAAGGAAGGGAGGGGCGACCAAAAAGAGAAGAAAAACUCCACCCUUUCCUUCUAUACCUGAAAUCAUGUAUUCAUCUUUUCUCUUAAUUAUUUUUUGAUAGAUAUGUAAGGUUAAGUUCUUUUUCUUAGUUGCAAGGACAUAAAAACCUUCGGAUUUCAAGAAUUGUGAGAUCUAUUUUACAUUUUCUUUCCAGUUUAUAUGAUGAGUAUGCUUGUUUUUCUAUGCUUAUUUCCUAUAAUUGCUUAGUUUGAUUAUUAGAGCGAACUCUAAGUUAUUAUUCUAACGAAUCUAUUGCUAAAUUUGCUAUUAAAACUGGAGUUAUGAUAUCUAAAUUUAUGAAGCAACUAAGUUUAAUAAUUUUGAAAAAUCUAUGUUAUUAAUCUUAGAAAAAAUAUUCGAUCAAAUCAAACAUAGACUACAGACAGUUAUGUUGUCUAGAUUUAUCAACCUAUCUAGUUCUUAAGGUUGCCAUUGAAUUAAAUUACUAGUGCGGACACUGUGGUGAUUUAAUGGUUAUGGUUAGUUACACUGCAGACCGGUUAACUAACUAAUGUUAAGAAAAGAUAAAUAUUCAGAAUAUAAAUUGACGUAUCGUUUCAAUGAUCAGUUUUUAUUUAUGUAGAUAGACGUUUACUUGAGACCAAUGUUUUCUCUCUUGAUAAGUUUAAGAUUCAUUUAAUUUAGCUUGAUUGUUUUAUUCAGUUUACCAUAGCAUGACCUAUAUAACCUCACCCCCUCCCAAUUUCAUAUCAUCUAGCAUAAAAACCUGAAAUAGAUCUUCCGCGUGGGAUCAAUCGUUUACUUGCUCUAUAAUAUCUUGUUUAUUUAAGCUAGGGUAAUUAAUUUGUGUGACCGCGAUAUCGUAACAGUCAAAUCAUAGAUGAAAACCCAUGUAAUUUAUACACAUUUUCAUGAAAAGAGUAGCCACAAUAACAACAAAAUGAGGGUGUGUGCUAUGGCUAUGAAAUGAACACACUUACCAAAUCUAUCCACCAUCACAUAAAUAACAUCCUUACCAUUAGACUUAAGGAGGCCUUCAAUAAAAUCCAUGUUUAUGUCAUUAAAAGGAGCUUGUGGAAUAGGAAGGGGUUGCAGUAAUAUUAGGCUGAGGACAUUCUUUGUUUUGUUCCUUUGGCAUACACUGCAUUCCUUCAUAUACUGCCUGAUGUGUUUAUGUUGCCUUUCCCAAUAAAAUAAACUCCCAACUCUUUUAACAGUAGCACUAACCCUAGAGUGACCCCUUAUAGAUGAAUCACAAUAGAUGUCAAUAAGUUUUUUUUGUAGCCCAAGAUCAUAACUAACUACUAUUUUACCUUUCAUGUUUAGGUGUCCAUUCUCCUAUUUAUAGUAAGGGUGAGAGUUGAGAUCCUUACAUAUAUCCUGAAUGAUCUCUUGUGUAUUUCUAUCCUUUUUUUAUGAUGCUUUAAUCUGAUUGAUUAGGGUGGUAAAAAAUGAUAAUACUGCUAUAGUAAACAUUUAUUCUUUAAGAUUCCUAGAUAAGGUAUCAGAAUCAAAGUUAUCUUUGCUCUUAUUGUAUUCAAUUUCAAAAUCCAAGCCCAAUAGUUUGGAAAUCUAUAAGUGUUGAGAAGGGAAUGUGAUCUUUUGUUCUAUUAGAUACUUCAAACUGACAUCAUCUAUUCGAACCUUGAAAUUCCUGCCCCAUAGGUAGUGUCUCUAUUUAAAGAUUGCAUAAAGUAUAGCCAUCAUUUCUUUUUUGUAGGUAGACAGAAUUUGUUGUCUUAAACCCAGAGAUUUGCUAAUGUAGUUGAAUAAUGUCCUUCUUGCAUCAACACUACCCCAAUUCCACUUCCCGAAGCAUCUGUUUCUAUAACAAACACCUUGUUUAAGUAAGGCAAGGCCAAGACUGGAGGCUGAUUCAUUAACUCUUUUAGCUUCUUAAAAGCUUUUAUGUUCUACAUAAAUGCAUCAUUCCUUAUCAACUGUGUCAAUGGUUUAUAAAUUAACCUAUAACCCUUGACAAAUUUCUUGUAAUAGCCAACAAGGACAAGAAAACUACGCAAUUGCUUGAUAUUUCAAGGUUCAGGCUAAUCAACUAUUGUCUUGAUCUUUUAGGGUCAGUAAAAAAUCCAUCUUUAGUUAUUAUAAAUCAUAAAUUUUAUUAGGUACUUCUUGAAUACUUGAUUCAUCAAACUUUGUAGUAGGGACAUUACCAGAAACUCAUAAUAUCUAUUAUGAGUCUUGAAUGCUAUUUUAAAAACAUCUUAUCUUACCAUUCUAACCUAAUAAUAACCAGAUCUCAUAUCCACCUUGGAAAACACUAUUAUACCAACCGACUCUUCUAAUAGUUCAUCUACUAAGAGUAUAAGGAGCUUGUCCUUAAUGGUUAGUUUAUUAAGGUUCUAUAUGUAAGGCCCGACCCACUCCCCCUUGCAGAAUAUUGUCCGCUAUGGCUCAGCCCAACCCGGCUUUCACGCCUCACGGUUUUGUUCCUGGCAGCCCACAGGCCCAAAAACGCGUCCUACAAGGUUAGGUACCAACUGCCUUAAUAUGCCAUGGCUCUAGACACUCUUCUUUCGAUGUGGGAUGUUACACUAUAGUUAACACAAAGCCUUUAUGAACCAUUCUUUUUCUUAACCAAGAUCACUAGAGAAGCAAAUGGAUGGUUGCUAGGCUAAAUAAUUCCUGAUUCCAAUACAAACCUCUUUUCCAUGUUAUUUUAAUUCUUUUUUUUUUUUAAUUUUUUGACUACUAUUUUUUUGUGUUAUUUUACUCUGUCCAUUUGGUAAAAGAGAGAAAAAAGAAAUAAAAGAAAAAGAAAAAAGAAAGCACUCUCUAACACAUUUUAGGUAGUCACCGUCCACCAAAACGUCUCCUCCAGCCUCCUUCCCUUCCAGAAGCCGGAAUCACGACCGCGCCACCAGUAACCGCAACUGCUGCAACCGAUGACAUGUGCUCUAAACGAGCCAAGGAUAUCUUGUCCAUAGAAGCACAACAACGUGAAGCUAUAAUGGGUUUGAAAGACGCAAAAGAGAGGAGUCGAAGGUCAUAAAAGUAGGAGUUUGGUAUAUACUUGUCUUCUAACAAUACUAAUAUAGGUACAUGUAUAGGUAUGUUAUCUCUCUUUGCUUGCUGCUGCUACUCUUUCUCUUGGUUUAUUUGGGAGAAAUUAAAAAAUAGUUUUCUUUUUCUGAAUCUUACAUGCUAGUAUAAUAAAACAUUUAUAGGUAGAUUAACUGAAUCACUAAUGUGUUUAGUACAAAAUUGUUUUUUUUUUUUUUAUAGAAACCAAACAGACUGCUGUUUUAGGUUAACUUCAGCUGUAAGUUGUGUGACAGGAUGCGUACUUCUUAAAUUGUUCUUUUUAUUUUUUAUUUUUGGAUUAGUAGCUUUGCUCCUUUUUUUUUUCUAUGAGAUGUGGUAAAUUAGAUUUUGCAAGAUUGCAUAUGGCUGACACCAACAUGACCAAAAAGGGUCGCCGAAACUGUACAUGAGAAGGGCGGGUUCAAUGUAGUAGUAGGUCAAGUAUCAAUGAUAAGAACAUAUAAGUUCAUAUGUUAUUAAUGUAGAUUUCCUAAGCGUUUAGUAUUGUGGUAAAGAUUGUUUUUUAAAUUAUGUUUUUAUUGGAAAUGCAUUAAAAUAAUUUUUUUUAAAUUUUUUUAACAUUUAAGUACAUCAAAAUAAUUUUAAAACAAAAAAAAAAUUUAAAAAAAUUUUAAACUUUUUUUAAAAAACAUGGCCUAUGGCGUUGCCAAACACAAAUUUAAAAGAGUGUUUGGGAACGCGGUGCAAACUAUGUUCCCUAAAAAUUCAAAAAAAAUCUUUUUUUUGGUUAAAGAUUAAAUUUUUUUGUGUGUUUUGAAUCAUUUUGAUGCGCUGAUCUCAAUAAUAUUUUUUUUAAAAUUAAAAAAACAUCAUUUUAAUUUAUUUUAACACGAAAAAUAUUUUAAAAAACAACUACAAUCACAAUUCCAAAGAGAUCCGGUUUUUAAAGUCAUCUUAUCUGUUUGAAUCAACCGUGUCUUAUCUCAUCUCUCUCUCUUUCCCCUUUGUCAUGUGACUACUUAGGACUUGAACAUAGGCCGAGCUAACCAUGAUUGGUGUAUUUUAAUUUGAUCCAUUAAUUAAAUCUUCAAGUAAAAGCAAAGAAAACCCCUUGAAACAGUGUCUCUGAUGUAGCGGAACUCCCAUAUCCACCUUAUAAUUUUAAAAAAGUUCGAGCUUGAAGCAUAAUCCCUAUAAACAUUAUAAGCUUUAUAUCAACUUCUGUAAGUUGUAUUCUCUUAUUUUAUAUAAUCAUUACAAAUCAGAAGCUGAGUGGGUUUAGCUGUAUAGGAGUUUUUCUACAGAGACAUAAAUACAGUUUGGUUUUCGGGCAGCUGAAGAACACAAGAAUGGCAUCAACAGGGCAAUCACAGUCACUAAAAAGAAGGGAUGCACCAGUAACAAGAGAAGGAGGGGAUCAGCUAACUCUAACCCCUUUAGGUGCUGGAAAUGAAGUGGGUCGAUCCUGUGUUUACAUGUCAUUUAAAGGCAAGACAGUAUUGGUAUUGCUUCCCUCCCUCCUUCCCUCUAUGCAUUUUGUUGUUUUUCAAUUAUGCCAUUUUAUACUAAUUUACUAUUGGUAAUUCUUGAUCAUGCUGGAUCAAAUUCAAUGAAUGUAUUUUGUUUAUUAAUUUAUGUUUUUGUUGUCGAAUUAUGCCUAUGUUAGUUUGAUUGUGGAAUUCAUCUGGCUUAUUCGGGUAUGGCUGCUUUGCCUUACUUCGAUGAGAUUGACCCUUCCACUAUUGAUGUACUUCUCGUUACACAGUAUGUAUUUCUUCACCUUCUCUUGCUAAGUCUCCUUGCUUGGCUAUUGUAUAUAUGUAUAUUGAUUUUCCAUUCCAUGAGGCAAUAUUUUGUUUCUCACUAUUAGUUUCGUAAAUGCUAGUUUUUUCUCUCACUGAAUGCUCCCUUGAUUUGACCUUGCUUGCUUUUUUGUUUGUUCAUUUUCUUGUCAAAAGAAUACUUUGAAGAGAUAUCUCCUAUGAUGAUGUAGUAAGAUUGCAUGAAAUUUUUAGCUGCGAGAGAUCAACUUGUCCAAGGAAGAACAUGAAAUUGUUUCAGAAUUAGAGAACACUCAGCUCAGAAGUCAGAUAUACAAGUAUUGAGAAAGUUAGUGUUAGGGUAUUUUGGUCUAAUAUUUGGGACGAUUUUAUUGUGACAAUACAAGUUGGGAAGGAGUUUAAAUAUUGUGAGAAAAACCGCAUGAUGCAGUUCCUUAGGUGCUUGAACUUGCAUUAUUAGGGCCAUUUGAUAGGCAGUGGCUAGGUUCCUCAUCAGUAGAAGUUAGCCAAGUCUGUUAUAAUGCUGGACUUGACAAUAAUAUAAAUUGAAACAGUGAAACUUAAACUUGAUGCUUUGUCAACAAGAGAGGGCAGCCUGAACUUUCUUACCUCUAUAAAAAAUUAUCAGUAGUAUUCUUGAUGUGUGCUGGGAACUUUAUACUCUUAACUGGAUCUAUGCAGUUGUAGAGAAGUAUAGAUGUAAUGAGAUGUCUGAUAAAGUUUUGUUGGAAUUUGAAGUGUCAUAGACUCUUGAUAUCUAUAUUUUAAUUAUUCACAUGCUCCUUGUUGCAAGAAGAUGAGUGAUCUUCUAAGAAAUAGGUUAGUGCUCGUGAGGUUUAUUGCUUAUAAUGGGAACCACAAUAGAACAGUGCUGAAAAUGCAUGCAAUUGGGGAGUGAAAGCAAUCCACUUUCCGGCUGAAGAAAUCAUUUAGGAAAAUCUUGAUUAUCUAUGAUAUAUUAUAAUAAUUUUUUUUUUUAAUGUGAUUAAAUAUCAUAAAGUGUUCAACAAGAAAGCAAAACAAUAAAAGAAUAUAAAUUAUUUCUACUAAUUAAUUAUGUUGAAUAUUAAUGUGAUUGCAUAUUAUGCAAUGAUUCAAAAAAUGAAAAUAUUGAAAAAUCAUUGUAUCACAUUGGUUGGGAAAUAAAUAUGCUCCAUUUGCUUGAAUUUCAUUUAAGGUGUCAGGAAACUCUACUUGGUUUCUAUUUUUUUUUUGAGAAUUCUUUCUGUUACAUUAAUGAAGUCAUAAGGGCCUCUUGGAUUUUAUUUUAAACAAAUAAAAUCAAUACUGUGUUUUCUAUAUUUUUUCAAUCAAAAUUUUUAGGCCUCUCUAGUUUUUCAAUCAAAAUUUUUAGGCCUCUCUAGUUUUUUCUCAUCAAUCAUUGGGAGUGAUGCUUUCUUCCUGCAGCUUUCACAAGGUUUGUUUUUUUUACUGAUUUCUACAAAGUUAUUGUGUGUAUCUUUCACUAGGAUCAAUCUAACAUGUUCACUCUUUAUCACUAGGAUCAAUCUAACAUGUUCACUCUUUAUCAGACCACAUUCAGAGGUCGAGUUUUCAUGACUCAUGCAACAAAGGCUAUCUACAAGUUGCUUUUGACUGAUUAUGUAAAAGUGAGCAAGGUUUCAGUGGAAGAUAUGUUGUUUGAUGAGAAAGACAUAAACCGCUCAAUGGAUAAAAUCGAGGUCUGUGUUUAUGAAUUUUUGCAUUCUCUUGUUUACAUCUAUCCGCAUCCUUUUUGUUCUUCCAGAAACUUGAUCCACUUCGUUUACCUUCCUUCUAAGCAAUAGCUUGGAAAAAUUUUUGUUUAUUAUAUUUGGCUUGGCAUUAUGUUGUGGCCCCAAAGUCAGGGGCUCAGGAAUUCAGCUUAUUGGUUAUUCUUCUUUAUCACCUCCUAUCCAUGUUGAAUUAAUUGCUCUAGAUGAAAGGUCUGCGUCUUCUGGAAUUUAAAGUGUUUCAAUCUUACAUUUGGUGUUGUGAAUUUUGCUGUCUAUGGAUUUCUUAGCUUUCAUUCUGUUUGAGUUUGGCAUUGUUAGUUGUUGGCUUCUCAUUUGAGGUUUGCAUGUUUCGCUUGGAAACUUAGGACCAAUUUAUAUGCAUCUGAUAAUUAAGUUAUGCCUUUCUUUUUCCAGUAGUGAUCAAUCUAAGUUGAUUCCACACUUAAGUUGCAUUUGGAAUACUCUAUUGCCUGAUUAAUCAAAGAGCAUAUUCAAGUAGUUGUGGUUGACAGCCAUGUAUCUUUUUUGAACUAUGAGAGUUUGGGUCAUAUUACAGCGAGUGCCAUCUCACUCUCUAUCUUCCUGCACAUGUAAGAUUUUAGUGAUUAGUAAUAAGAUAACAGUAAUUCAACAACAAAAAAAAAAAGAUAAAGAUAAAGAUAAAGGAAAAUUUUAUAAGCCAAGUGGGAACCUUCUGGUAGGCAUACAGGGCCCCUGCCCUAGUACAGUUAAGCAGAAAGGUUUGGUAACAACUGGAUGAAAAUUUAUUUAUUUUUUCCCUUGUUUGUUCGAAGAAAGGGUGCUUGUUCCAAAAUGGUAGUUGCUUAUCUUUUUCUCAAUAUAGCAUCUCUUUUGGUAAGCAUUAUGCUAUGCUUGCCAUUUUAAGUUGAUAAAUCUGUCCGUGACCGAUCCAUAUGAGGUAAUGUUUGGGCUGAUUAAAAGAUGUUUUCACAAUUAUGAAAUAAUAAUAAAAAGUAUUUAAGUUUUGGUAGCAUUCUGAAAAUACAAUCCUAUGGAGCCAAUUCAAAGCGAGGAUUUCUUUUUUCUUUUGAUUUUAUUUCCAUCCUGUAGCACAAUCAUGAUCCAUGAGUGCAAGUGGUCAAAACCAUUGAGAGAUUGCAGAGGGAAAGAGAGGAUAUCACUUUUAUAUAUUUUUCUUUUCAUACAUGGACUGUUAAUUCUAAUCCCUGACACUUUUGUCAAGGUUGGGUGCAUGUGUUUGCAUUUUUGUCUUUUUUUGUGAGCAGAUCUGCUGGUGUUUGCCAGGUCUUAUUUUCCUUAUGAUGGCCUAGCUUGUAAUCUUCCUUUGUCAUCCUCUGUUUAACUUAAGAAUCCUUAAUUUCAUUAAUGAUUUUUGUAAUUGCAGGUUAUUGACUUCCAUCAGACUGUGGAUGUUAAUGGCAUUAAAUUUUGGUGCUACACUGCUGGCCAUGUCCUUGGGGCUGCCAUGUUCAUGGUAGAUAUUGCCGGUGUUCGAGUGCUGUAUACUGGAGACUAUUCGCGUGAAGAAGAUCGGCAUCUUCGUGCUGCUGAGAUGCCACAAUUCUCUCCAGACAUAUGCAUAAUUGAAUCUACCUAUGGUGUCCAACUCCAUCAACCUCGACACAUUCGGGAGAAGCGCUUCACUGAUGUUAUCCACUCCACCAUCUCUCUAGGUGGUCGUGUUCUAAUUCCAGCAUUUGCCCUUGGCCGAGCUCAAGAACUCCUUUUGAUCCUUGAUGAGUAUUGGUCAAACCAUCCCGAGCUUCAUAACAUUCCCGUAUAUUAUGCUUCUCCCCUUGCGAAAAAGUGUAUGACUGUUUACCAGACAUACAUCCUUUCUAUGAAUGAAAGGAUCCGCAAUCAGUUUGCGGAUUCAAACCCCUUCAAAUUCAAGCAUAUAUCACCGUUAAAUAGCAUUGAAGAUUUUACUGAUGUAGGGCCAUCUGUGGUUAUGGCAACUCCUGGAGGACUGCAGAGCGGUUUGUCAAGGCAGUUGUUUGAUAUGUGGUGCUCUGAUAAGAAAAAUGCUUGUGUUAUACCUGGAUUUCUUGUUGAAGGGACCUUAGCUAAGACAAUCAUUAAUGAACCAAAGGAGGUACAGCUCAUGAAUGGACUGACUGCACCACUCAACAUGCAGGUCCAUUACAUCUCGUUCUCUGCCCAUGCAGAUUAUGCUCAGACAAGUACAUUUUUGAAAGAGCUCAUGCCUCCUAACAUUAUUCUUGUUCAUGGAGAAGCCAAUGAAAUGGGAAGGCUCAAACAGAAACUUAUCACAGAGUUUACUGACGGCAACACCAAGAUAAUCACCCCAAAGAAUUGCCAGUCUGUUGAGAUGUAUUUCAACUCUGAAAAAAUGGCAAAAACCACUGGAAAGCUGGCUGAAAGGACCCCGGAUGUUGGUGAAACUGUCAGUGGUAUACUGGUGAAGAAGGGCUUCACUUAUCAAAUCAUGGCACCUGAAGAUCUCCAUGUCUUCUCACAACUAUCAACUGGAAAUAUUACUCAGAGGAUUACCAUUCCUUUUUCCGGUGCAUUUGGUGUGAUAAAGCACAGGCUUGAGCAGAUUUAUGAGAGUGUGGAGUCUGGAACUGACGAGGAGUCUGGGUCUCCAACAUUGCAAGUGCAUGAGCUGGUAACAGUGAAACAAGAAUCUGAUAGACAUAUUUCACUUCAUUGGACUGCUGACCCCAUAAGUGAUAUGGUGUCUGAUUCAAUUGUAGCUUUGGUUUUGAACAUCAGCCGGGAGGUUCCUAAGGUAAUUGUCGAGUCAGAGGACAUAAAAUCUGAGGAAGAAAAUGAGAAAAAAGCAGAGAAAGUGAUUUAUGCCUUCCUUGUUUCACUUUUUGGAGAUGUGAAACUUGGAGAGAACGGGAAACUGGUCAUAAGUGUUGAUGGGAAUGUAGCAGAGCUUGACAAACAGAGUGGGGAUGUUGAGAGUGAGAAUGAAGGUCUCAAGGAACGAGUUAGGACAGCAUUUAGGCGAAUUCAAAGUGCUGUGAGGCCAAUCCCGCUCCCUGCAUCUUAGCUUCUCUCUUUCCUUUUCCUUGUUGUUUCAAAAUGUUUCUGACCUUCGAGAAUAGAUUUUGUUUCCGUAGUAAUUUUAUGUUUGAAUGCAUCCUGCCUUGAGGUUGCCUCUUAUUUUAGUCUCGUGCCUUAAUGAUUUUGCUCAUUGCUGUAGUUUGG